rnacentral:lncRNA from 1 species
AGCAUCACUUCGAAUCCAGCGACGCCGGAGCUUCUAAGACUUAUCCUCAACAAGCCGGUAACAUUCGUAAAGGUGGUCACAUCGUCAUCAAGGGACGUCCCUGCAAGGUUUUGUCUCUGAUUUGAUUAUUAUUGAUUUUAGAGGAAUCAUCUUCAUGGAUUGUAUUAAAGCAGUGUUCCGUUACCUGAUCGUUGUGAAUUUUUGAGGUUUAGUGAUUCUGGAUUGUGAUCUGGUGUUUAGUGUUGAGAAAAACCUCUGUUUUUGAAGUUUAUGGAUUUAUAGGGUUUUUAAAUCUAUAAUAGGGUUUAAUUCAAUUGGUGAUAUGUGGGGUUUAUGAUAUAGGUG